rnacentral:lncRNA from 1 species
GAGCCACCUUCACGGCCAUUUACCCUUAGGAGGUGCCCAUAACCGUUGGCAUGCACUACAGCGUGCAGCAAGUGAGAGGAGUCAUCCAGAUGCAGGUAUGCACACUCUUCGAUUUCCUCACCAUCCAUAUCAAAGUUGCAGAGGGCACACCUGGGGAAUGUAUUGCAUUCGAAGUUAGAGAACUUGCAAAGUAGUAUUCAGAGCAUCACAAGUUCACAACACAUUAAUCAUAUUACAUGCUUUAUGAUUUAUUCAGAGCUAGGCAGAGAUAACUUUCUAAGCUGUCUAUGAAAACAAGCCCCAUCCAAAUGCAAUCUAUUUGAAACUCUCUGCAUUUAGAUUCGGGCAUGCACUGAUUCACAGCAUGUAGACACAUCUGAGUACUAUAUAGGCAUCUAACGCACAGCAUAUUGACAUCAACUGGUCAUGUAUUAACGUUGUCAGGUCCCAUUUCCCAUUCGCUGUUAUGCAAGCAUGUAUAUUUUCUGAAAUGUGCCUCCCACCUUGAUUCUCCAGCGACCAUGCGAGUCCCGCAGCGCAGGCAGCAGGUGCGCCGGUGGCCGGAGAGCUGGUUGCAGUCGUUCUCGAUGAUGAAAUGGUAUCGCUUCCCGCAGACUGGGUGGCCACUCCAUCCUGCAACCCAACAAACACAUCAGACACAAGAUUCCAUUGCAGAUGCUGUAUUGCUGUAUGGUAACAGUAUAUGACAAGGAAGAUUGAAUCAAUCAUGGUUAUGGAUGUGAAAGCAACAGCCCAACAAUUCGCUGACAAGACGAAAGCUUCCAGAAAAUUUGGGUGAAACGGGUCGAUUUUUUUAAAAAAAUAGAAAGACGUUGGAUUCAAAAGCCAAUACCGCUCAAUAAAUCGAAAAGAUAACGAGAAGAUCGAAACAAAAC